GACCGCUUUAACGCUGGUAGUGGACUUUACUGUGAUAGAUGGGUUAUGUGUAUUCAGGUGCUGGAGGAAUUCCUGAAAUUCUGCUUCAGAAUGAGUCCAGACCCCCCAGAUGUCAUCCUAGGUACCGAUAGUAGUGCAGGGGUGCCCUCCUGCACGUACUAAGAGCACCGGCCUCCCACUCAGCCAUGAAAAUAUUUGCAUAUGCCGGUGCAAAUCUUUUGCCCAUGGCUGUGCCCUUAAUUUGGAGGAAAAAUUGGCCAUCAAAAACAAAGUCAUUUCUUUUUAAGUUAAUUUCCAAUAGUUGAAUGAGCUCACGAUCUGGCCUCCUCGAAUCUGGGUAUUUGAGAAAUAUGUUUUUAAUACAACUAAUUCCUUCAUUUAUAUCAAUAUUGGUGUACAAACUGUCGAUGUCAAUUGUAAAUAAAAUAGAGUCCUGAGUCGGAGACAAUGGGCCUGCCGGGAGGGAUUUCAUGAGGUUUGCUCCAUUUUUCAGGCUCUUUGUGGAUUUUAGGGAGCAGGUAAAACCUCCUGGCUCUGGGCUCGGAGGAGCCACGCAGGGAGAAGACAGCAGCCAGGUGUGGCAGAACGGAGAAGCCUGCGAUCAUCAGGUGAAGGAAGGCAGACUGAUCGGGUGGCUUGGAUCGUCUCCGCAGCAGAAACAGCCAUCAGUGGAAAACAACAUGUUGGAUUGACAGCGGGACAGAGGAGGAACUCUGCCCUCAUCUGGCUGCAGCACAGCGGCGAGCGAGGCACACGGAGUGGACCGCAGCAGGUUCCAGAUGUGGUGGAGGCGAACCAAAGGGUUCCUCCUCCAGGUUCUGGCUGCCCUGAUUCCAACUGGAGACCAAGUUUACUUUGGACUGAGGACAUUUUUUAAACUAUUUUACAGAUUCUAGCUAAAGAGAACAGAACUUUUUAUUCCUUUGGUGUCUGCUGGGAAUAAAAAUGGUUUAAAUCUAA